UAAAUUUUUAAUGGAGGCCUAUAAUUAAAAUGGAUUAAAUUAAUUUGGGCCUAAGGUAUUAAAAAGAAGAUAAAUACUAUGGAAUAGGAAGCCCAAGUAAAGUGGCAUAAGUAAAUACAUGGGCCUUGAAAAUCCUAGCCUUUUUCCUCUUAAGAUACAUGUGUAUUUACUGAUGGUGCCUCCUUUUGCUUCAGCCGCUUCACACUUCUGAACCUUGCUUUACUUCACUGUGGCUGUGAGUGGAGACUAAAGGUUCUAAUUCUACUGAAUUGUUGUGAUUCAAGGGAGGUUGAUUUCCUUUAUUUUUGCAGUUAAAGAAGUAAGUGGUGUUUACUAAUUUUGGGGGUUUUCCCAAAACAGUGUUAAUUAUUAAACUAUUUUAUAUGAAAGAAUAUGUUGAUAUUCUAUAUAUAAAUGAAUAUUUUACAAAUGUUUGAUGUGCAUGUUGGCUAUUCGUUUUAUGAAAAACUUGUGGGACAACCUAAUUUUAUUUAAACUUGUAUGUGUGAAUAUGUCUUUAUAUUUUGAGAAGUAUGAAUGGAUUAUUUUGUGAGCAUAUUGAAUAUGUUUUGAAAACCUAUGGCAAGUCGUGAUUAGAAGCUCAGUAUGAUAUUUAGUCCUUAGCAAGGGACAAUCAUGCUGCAGCUAGUCCUUAGCAAGGGACGGUCCCAAAAGGGGACAGUGCACAUUUGAUAGCUCCUUAGCAAGGGAGCAUACUAUUGAGGAUCUAAAAGGAAGCUCCUUAGCAAGGGAGUGUACCUUUAGGUUCCAAAGGAGCCAUCCUUGAGAAAUGGGAUGAAAGGAGGUUCCAGUCCCAAAAAGGGGACAGCACAACCCUGUCAACGGGGCGUAAACGUUGACCACGAGAAAAGCCUAGGGAAUUGUUUAUGUGAUGGUAUCAAUAUAUAUAUUAUGAUGGCUCACAAUAUAAAGAUAUUAUUUUCUUUUACAUGAAAUAGUUGAUGACAAAAUAUUGGUGAGUUAUAAGUUGUGAAUCUGUUGAAAGAAUUAUUUAUUUGAAAGGUUUGUUCCCACACCCCAAUGUUAGUGAAUUCCAUUUAUUGAGUUAUCUCACCCCCCUUUAUUUCCCAUUACAGAUACAUUAGGUGGAUUACUGGAGUAGAGAUUCUUGGGUGACAAAAGUUACAAACUAUUUUUGUGGAAUUGAGGAUUUUAUUAUUACUUUAUGGCAUUAAACUUUGUAUUGGAGAAUUAUCUUGAGGAUAUUUUGUAUUUGGUGAAUUAGAGCUCUGACUUUUGUAAUCGGAUUCAAGGUUGCUAGUUUCUUUUAUUUAAUAUUUUUAUGAAUUA